rnacentral:lncRNA from 1 species
CUUGCUUAAGUGUUACAUAGAAACCUAUAGGCAUGACAUCUAUUGAUUACAGAAACAAAGAAGAAAACUGAAUGCAGAUUGGUUUAGGAAAAAAGAAAGUUGCCAGUUUAAAGUAGGUUUUAGCAGAAGAGCACAAAGUCUGUAAUUGGUAAUAGAUUACUACUGAUAGUUUUAGACUUAUAAGUAAGUGAAACGUUUC